GUCCCCUUAGAAGCUGCAUGCUCAGUUGAAGAGGACGACCAUCCCCACUAGAGGGCGGUUCUUUGGUCAAGGAUAUACGAGUUGCUGUGCUCUCCCGCUAAAAUCUCUGAACAAGCUCUCAAGAGUACAACAAUGCAAAUACACUAAAUUUUAUAAGUUGUGCAUUAGAACAACAUUAAUUUU
rnacentral:sRNA from 1 species